rnacentral:misc_RNA from 1 species
UGGGAAUUCAAUGUUGAAGAAUAUGUUGGUGGCAAAGGGAAACAUCUCCAAUUCAUCGUAAACGUAAAUCAUCAAUAUAUGUAUGCACUCUAGAGAGAGGAGCUGGACUGUUUCAUUGUAUGCUGGCUGAUAAUGGUCAGUUAAGUGGACGGAGGGUUGGAAUGAUUGUUGUUGAUGAAUUGCAUCUUCUCGCCGAACAAAAAAGGGGAGCUUUGUUAGAUGCAACUAUUACAAAAGUUUUAGACUCUCAGCAGUUCCUGCAUAAUAUUCAGAUAAUUGGUAUGUCAGCUACAACUGGAAAUAUGCAAGAAAUAGGUGACUUUUUAAAUGCUCACGAAUGCACAAGAGAUUUUAGACCUGUAAAGCUCACAGAAACUAUAAAAUUAAACGAACAAAUAUUUGUGAUAAAUAAAGAUGUUGAUGGUUCUUUGAAAAGUAAACUUGAUAGAAAAUUAGAUUUUGACUUUUCAGCCUGUCCUUAUACAUGUAUAUGGAAACCAAAAAUGCAGAGUUCAAUAUGGAAAGUGCAAACGUUGUGCACAUACCAACCGAUCCUCAACACACCUUGGGCUCAACUGUCUCGGAUACAGAGUCAACACAAGUAGAGGGAGUUCCAUACCGUUAAGCAGUUGGGAGUCUGUUGUACUUGAGUCAAAUAACGAGACCCGAUAUAACAUUUGCUGUUAAUUUGGUGGACCGUUAUCUAGAAAAACCUCAAAAAAGUAAUGCAGAUUAUGCUGGUGACGUAACAACAAAGAGAUCUACAUCAGGAUCAGCGUUCUGUGUUGGCAAUGGAUUAGUUGCAUGGAGCUCACGGAGACAGAAAUCAGUGUCACUUCCUACUACAGAGUCAGAGUAUAUUGCACUAAGCCAAUUCGUACAGGACCUUACCUGGUUAAUGCUAUUAAUGAGUGAUCUUCUGGAAACACAGGAAGUUAAACCAAUUAUAUAUGCAGAUAACCAGAGUGCUAUACGCCUUGUUAAAAACCCAGAAUUUCAUAAAAGAUCAAAGCAAAUCGAUGUAAGGUAUCAUUACAUCAGGGAAUCAAUA